rnacentral:rRNA from 1 species
AGAGUUUGAUCCUGGCUCAGGACGAACGCUGGCGGCGUGCCUAAUACAUGCAAGUCGAACGAACCGCGACUGAGUGCUUGCACUUGGUCAAGGUGAGUGGCGAACGGGUGAGUAACACGUGGGUAACCUACCUCAUAGUGGGGGAUAACAGUCGGAAACGACUGCUAAUACCGCAUAGGACAUAGAAUCACAUGAUUCUGUGAGGAAAGGUGGCGCAAGCUAUCGCUAAGAGAUGGACCCGCGGUGCAUUAGCUAGUUGGUAGGGUAACGGCCUACCAAGGCAAUGAUGCAUAGCCGACCUGAGAGGGUGAUCGGCCACAUUGGGACUGAGACACGGCCCAAACUCCUACGGGAGGCAGCAGUAGGGAAUCUUCCGCAAUGGACGCAAGUCUGACGGAGCAACGCCGCGUGAGUGAAGAAGGUCUUCGGAUCGUAAAGCUCUGUUGUUGGAGAAGAACAGCGCAUAGAGUAACUGUUAUGCGUGUGACGGUAUCUAACCAGAAAGCCACGGCUAACUACGUGCCAGCAGCCGCGGUAAUACGUAGGUGGCGAGCGUUGUCCGGAUUUAUUGGGCGUAAAGGGAGUGUAGGCGGUCUUUUAAGUCUGAUGUGAAAGCCCACGGCUCAACCGUGGAGGGUCAUUGGAAACUGGGAGACUUGAGUGCAGAAGAGGAGAGCGGAAUUCCAUGUGUAGCGGUGAAAUGCGUAGAUAUAUGGAGGAACACCAGUGGCGAAGGCGGCUCUCUGGUCUGUAACUGACGCUGAGGCUCGAAAGCGUGGGGAGCAAACAGGAUUAGAUACCCUGGUAGUCCACGCCGUAAACGAUGAGUGCUAAGUGUUGGAGGGGUUCC